AGUGAACGCUGGCGGUAGGCCUAACACAUGCAAGUCGAACGGCAGCACAGUAAGAGCUUGCUCUUACGGGUGGCGAGUGGCGGACGGGUGAGGAAUACAUCGGAAUCUACUUUUUCGUGGGGGUUAACGUAGGGAAACUUACGCUAAUACCGCAUACGACCUACGGGUGAAAGCAGGGGAUCUUCGGACCUUGCGCGACUGAAUGAGCCGAUGUCGGAUUAGCUAGUUGGCGGGGUAAAGGCCCACCAAGGCGACGAUCCGUAGCUGGUCUGAGAGGAUGAUCAGCCACACUGGAACUGAGACACGGUCCAGACUCCUACGGGAGGCAGCAGUGGGGAAUAUUGGACAAUGGGCGCAAGCCUGAUCCAGCCAUACCGCGUGGGUGAAGAAGGCCUUCGGGUUGUAAAGCCCUUUUGUUGGGAAAGAAAAGCAGCAGGUUAAUACCCCGCUGUUCUGACGGUACCCGAAGAAUAAGCACCGGCUAACUUCGUG
rnacentral:rRNA from 1 species